rnacentral:lncRNA from 1 species
GGUACUCACUUUGCGAAUCAGUCAGUCGAAUGUCAUUCUCGUUGGAAGUCGAGUUGGAAAUACCGCCAGUUGUGGAAUUGAAACUGCUUUCGUUUCCGGCAGAUAUCUGCGGAAAAACAGGAGACGUCCAGGAUAACGCAGUUCCAGCGGCAACCGCACCCAAACAAACUGUAACACAUCGAUUGUUGUCUUCGACUGAUUUUCUUGUAGAAGAUCAUAGGUUAUUGGAUUGCGUGAGUCUCCGUCCUCUUGACUGACGGUCUGCAAAAGAAGAAGGAAUCUUUAGGAUCUGCUUAAAAGAUUAUAUCACACUUAAAUAGGCUGCAUUCAUAAUGAUUACGAUGGCUGCCCUGCUCGGUUUCCUCACUGGCCUGGUUAUGAUAAUAGGCAAAGUUCUAGCGUUUCUUUGGACUUUGACGAAAACCAUAUACGUCACCCUGAAAAUUGCAAGGACCUUAAGGAAAACACCAACAUUUAGCGAUGUGAAGACUCGAUUUAAGGAGUUUUCCCUCAGAAAUGCAAAAACUAUACUAAAAGAAUAGUUGAACAAGUCUUGAACGCAUUCAUGAUCCAAUUCAGUACCCAAUUAACUCUUAAGAAAUGUCUAAAAUCACUUGGUUUG